UGGCAAAUAAACCAAUUUAACAGAAGAGAGAGUCUGCUGUUUCUGGAUGGACCUGAUAUAUAACAGAGGUGAAGAUCAGUGAAGAUAAUCAAUAAAUUAAUGGUACUGUAUUGGGGAAACUACUUAUGGGAGAAAGUAAUUGGAUUCCUACUUCAUACCGCAAAAAAAAAAAAAAAAAAAAAAAAAAAGUGCUUUGUUGAUCUAAGUGGGAAAAGUAGAAAACUUAAUGUAGGAAAAUAUCCUUGAUUUUGAGAUAUGCAGAAUUUCUCUUAAAAAGAUCAAAAAGUAAAAAACAGAAUGUUAAAAAAAAAAAAAAACCUGGCUCAUCUAUGAACCAUGUAACUAUUCAGAUCUUAUCCUACUACUUUGGUUGGCUUUGGGGACAGGCAUGGUGCCAGAAGCAAUUUCCUAGCUUUAGCCUCUUCCCCUGGGCCAUGCCAGCAGUACUCCAGGACCAAGCUAGAAUAAAAUACAGAUGCUGAAGAAAGUUUGAGAAGAGACUGCAGGAUAUAAGAAUGUGGACAAAGAGAAGGGAGAAAACCAGGAAAGUUCAAAGGAAGAAGCUGUCCCUCUUGUUCAAGCACCUUUUAGCCCUUCAGGAGCUCAGCAGGUCCCAAGUGUGGUUGCCAGUAGAGGGGUCUGUGAGUACAUUAUGGUUGAUUUGAAUCUAGACCAGCAGACCUAAGAAAAAGUCACUGUUCUUUUGUUAUUUGAAAAGGAAGUCAUACAAACAUCGAUUUUAAUUCUUAAUUUAUGUGUUAAUCAGGUGAAUAAAAAUUAAUGCCUGCAAUACUAUGUAUAAAGUAGCACACAGAUUUGCCAACAACUGCAUUCGUAAUCUUUUUUUUUUUUUUUUUUUUUUUUUUUUUUAGGGCUGCACCCACGGCAUAUGGAGGUUCCCAGGCUAGGGGUCCAAUCAGAGCUGUAGCUAUCUGCCUAUGCCACAGCCACAGCCACAUGGGAUCUGAGCUGCAUCUGUGACCUACACCACAGCUCACAGCAAUGCCAGAUCCUUAACCCACCGAGCAAGGGCAGGGAUUGAACCCUCAAAUUCGUUUCCACUGCACCACGACAGGAACUCCUGCAUUUGUAAUCUUAUAUUCAACCUGGAACAAUACAGGUUGAUGGUCUGCAUAAAUAAUCAUAACAUCCAACCCACUCCACUGAGAAAAAUUAUGAAUUUCACUAUGCUGAAUUAGACGGAGAAAAACCAGCUCAAGUAUGGAGAUUUCUUAUUAAUUUUUUUCUACUUUAGAGAGUCAACCUUUUUAAAAACACACUAUAGAAAUAUGCUCUCAUGGAUGAUCAGUAGGAGUGUAAAAGUAGUUAAAUAAUACAGGAAAUGAGAGAAAGUAAUUCAAAACGCACUUAAAUAUUUGAAAUAAAGUUACCUGGAAAAUAUAUCAAAGUUAAAUAACUGUUUUUCAGGGAAAAUAAACUGCAAUGGCUCUUUUUCCCAUUUUUGGCUGCCCUGUGGCAUAUCGAGUUCCCUGGCUAGGGAUCAAAUCCAAGCCGCAGUCACUACCUAAACCACAGCUGCAGCAACACCAGAUCCUUAACCCACUGCACCAGGCUGGGGAGGUUUCUCAUCGAUUUUGAUUUUCAAGGGUAGUAUCUGGAUAAAUAUCAUUUUGCCCACCCUAAGAUCUGUAAGGCAAAAUAUCACUUCUCUAAAGGUAGCUUUCAAAAUCAUAGUCAUAAUUACCAGUAGGAAAUCAUUGCUCCCUUGGGACUGGACUUUGUAUAUCCAACCACUUCAAGUAUAGCAAAUAUCUUGCCACUGCAUAGAUUGAUAAACUAAGAAUGACACACACAAGACACAAAAAGAGAAAGACGGAGAAUUCUGAUAGGUUAACUAUCCAGUCACAUUUUAUUUCCUUUCCUCUGAUCAAUGCCAAAAAGCCUACAACAGAUACACACUCACUACAAGUAAAAUGUAUCCCGGAACCCCAUCUCAUGGAAACAAACUAUCAAAAGACCUUAUGUUACAAAAUAACACAUCACCAGCAAUGAAGGAAGCAUGGAUUGUCAGCAAUUGCUUAUGCCUACUGAAAUUUCCAAAGGUUGCAUUGGAUUAUUGUAAUAUUUUGAGAAUAUUCCUUUUAAUUAAAAGUGAAAUACUGGCUCUCCUCUUAAAAUAUGUAUCACAACAUAUUUGGAAACAAUGUUAACAGGAAAAUGAUUCCAGAUGUUCUCCAAGAAGUUGUGAGAGCCCAUUUGAGAAAUACUGAUAUACAGCAAUAUAUGUGUGAGUUAAACCUAUGUGUAUACAUACAUUCAUGUAUUUCAUAUACAGACAGAAGGCACACAGACAGAAGGCGCGCGCACACACACACACACACACACACAGGCAUGAUGACAAGAAAAUAAACUAGAGUAAAUGUGGAAAUUUGGGGAAAGAAACUGAUAACUCUCCAUAAACAAUUUGCUAGAGUAAAUCACUGAACUUAAUGGUUGAAAUGAAACACACAAGGGAGCAAUUAGGUAGAAUGAUACAAAGGCAAAUAAAUAGGACCAAACUUCAUGUAAAUAUAAUGCUUUCAAUGCUGCUGAUAAGUUUCAAGAAAAGUUAGCUUGACUAGUUAAAUCUCAGGAAGGAGAAGUAUUAUGACCAUCUUCAGAAUCCAGAUGGAGGUACAAGCUCCAUUUCUGUGUUCAAAAACCAUGAGUAAAUGUGGUGAAGAGAACACUUUACAAUGUAGACUUUUUAACAAAUACUAAGGUUUAAAGUUUUCCUAAAAGAAUUAGCUAAUAGAAGAAAUAAAAGAGUAUAAUUUUUGAAUAAAGUAGUAAAAGACAGUGAAUUAAAAUGUUAAGUUAAACAUUAAUUAUCUUCAACAUUCAUUUUCAAAAGUUAGGGAUACUUAAGAAAAAUUAAGUGCCACUAAAGCCACAUGCUUAAAAAAUAACACUUACUGAUUUUUUUUCUAUGAAAGCAACAACUGCGUAUUUGCAGAGAAUUUAGAUAAAUAAAAAGAAAUAAAAUCUCAAUUCAAACCUCUCAAGUUGGAAAUAUACAAGACAAUAAAUAAACUAUGUAAACUGGAAUAAAAAUAAGUUUGUAAAUGUAUAGUUUGAAAAGAAACAAAGUCAUUUACCUAGAACUGUGUGAACUAGAAUUCUGUAAGGUAACCAGACAGAAAAUUAGCAAAGAAAAAUUAAUAGCUUUCCAUUACACAUACAAAGAGAGAUUACAUAAAUAUUUGAAAAGAUUCCAUCUUAAAAAAAGCAAUAAAAACUUCACUGCAAUAUGUUAAAAACUGUGUAACAAGUUAUGGUGAUCUAUAAAAUGUUACCGAAGGACCUAAAGAAAAACUUAAGUGGGAAAUAAACUGUAUUUAUGGAUAGGAAUGCUCAAUAUUGCACAUAUUUUAAUAACCAAAGUUAGCCUACAAAUUAUAUAAAAUUGCAAUGAAAUUUUCAUGGAACACAAAAUUUUCAUGGAACUUGGAAAAGUUAUUUUAAAAUUCAUAUGGAGGAGUAAAAGCUUAAGAAUAUCAGGAAAAUCCUGAAAAUGAAGAAACCAAUUGUGAGAUGCAUUCAACUAGACAUCAGAACAAGGCAGAGCUAAAAUUACAACAGUGACAAAGCAGCAUACAUGACAGGACAAAAUGAUUUAAUCAUAUAUCCCUGAGUGAAGUUCUGAUCUCUUCAUUCUGGAAAUACGAAGAAUCUGAAAUUUUAUUCAGGUAUGUGUGGUAAUUUAUGACAGAGACCAGUAUUAUCAACCAGUGGGAAAUACAAUGAACUUACUCAGUGUUUUGGGUAAAUGAAAAGGUAUAGAAGAGAGUUCUCUCUCAAAUCAUUAAAUAAAAUAAUUUCAGCUCAUCUAAAAGCCCAAAUGAAAAUAUUAAAGUAUUAGCAAUAUGCCAUAAAGGAAAAAAUCAACAAGUCUAUCUAAAUCAAAACUAAAAUUAAAGUGAAAAAGCAGGAAAGAAAUUAGCUCCUUGGGAGCUCAUGCUUGCAACACAUACAACAGAUAAUCAACUAACAUCCAGGAAAACAUGAGUAUAUUUUAUAAUUUAUAUGUAUAUACCCUUUAAAAUCAGUAAGCUAGAGAUGAGCAAUGGCAGCAGAAAAAUGGCCAAAGGAUAUAAACAGAUAACCAGAGGAGACUUAAGUCACCAAUAAACACAAAAGUAUGUUCUAUUUUGCUGACAGUCAGAAAAAUGGAAAUUAAAAUAACAUCAUUCAUCAGUUUUUGAUCUCACAGGGAGGCAAAAUGUAAAAGUUUAAUAAUAUCUACUGUCAACAAGAGUUAGGCAAUAUGUGCUCUUUGCAGCACAGAUGUGAGCAUAGCCAUUUUGGUGGACAACUUGGGAGGCUCUGUUAAAAGUGAAAAUGUGCAAAACCUCACUUUGUCUACAGAAUGAAAAAAUGGAAACAAGUUGAAUGACUAUUACUAGGGAGGGAAGAACUAUGGGUUUUGUUUUUGCCUUUGUUUUUGAUAAAUUUAAUUGGAGUAUAGCUGGCUUGCAAAGUUGUGUUCGUUUCAGGCGUACAGCAAAGUAAAUCAGUUAUAGACAUAUAUAAAUCCAUUCCUCUUCUGAGAGGGGAACAGAGAGGGGAACUGUGGAAUGAAGCAGAUUUUUAUAUACUCGCUUAACAAACAUCUUAAGUCAUGAUUAAGUAAACAAUAAAGAACAAAAGAUCAAAACAAACAGAAAUUGAGAAUGCAAAUGAAUACAUUGAUAGUCUGAAAAAAAUGCAAUGAAAGUCAAAACUGUAUAAUUUUACAAAUGUAAAUACAGAGAAAAAGUUCUAGAUGUACGCCCAUGACUUUUAUAACAGUGUUAUUCCUACGAAGUGGGAAGGGGGACCAGGACAUGGCAAAGGGCCAGUUACAGAGAGAGACUACAUCCUGGGAUGUCUGAGACAGUCUAUAGUUAUUCUUGUUUCAAUCACUGGUUGACUUACAUCUGCUUAUAUUGCUUUCCUUUCACACCACUGGUCUACACUUUUGGGGCAGUGAUAACAAUAAGAUUGUGCCAGGCAUUAUUCUAAAAACAAUGCCAGAUUAAUUUAUACAUGUGCCAUACGGCAAUUUGGCUUUUCCAGGUGGCUGCAAUAAGAUUUCUCAUUCCACAUGCUCUUCUUACAAUGUGACAAUUACAUCCAUCCCACUGAGAGGUAGCAUCUAUGCUCCCUUCAAUCUAAGUGAGUCUGUGACUACAGAGGAAGUGACACAAUGCAGCUUCUGAGACUCUUGGGAUAUCGCUCUUGAAGUCCAGCCACCAAGUUGUAAGGAAGCCCAGGUUAUAUGAAGAGGCCACAUCUAGCAAUUCUAGUUAAAACCCCAGCUAAUCUGUAUCAAUGACGACUGCUUCAUAAUAAAUCACCUCAAAAUUUAGUGGCUUAGAACAACAUUUUAUUACUGCCUCUCAUGGUUUGAGGGGUUGACUUGGUUCACCUGAUGUUUUUACUCAGGGUCUCUUAGUGCACUUGCAAUCAGACAGUGCCUGCACUUAAGUCAUCUCAAAGACCUCCUCACUUACAUGUCUGGCACUUAAUAGUGGCUACUGGCUGAGCUCUCUUCUGGGGCUGUCUGUUGGAAUACCUAUGUGUUUAGGUUUCCUCAUGGUGUCUAGGUUCUAAGAAUGAGCAUCUCAAAAGGAAGCUAGGCAGAAGCUGUGCAGCUGUUUAUGACUCAGCCUUCAAAGUCAUAAAACUUCAUUUUUUGUCCUUUUUUAUUGGUUGUGGCAGUCCCAGGGUUCUACCCAGUAUCAGAGGGAAGAGAUAUAGAUUUCGAUUCCUAGAGAAGAAGUAGCAAACCAACUCUAAGAAGAACAAGUGAGAUGGAAGAUGUUAUUCUAGUCAUCCUGAGAAAAUACAAUUUGCCACAGUCCACAACAAUGCUAUUAUUUUUGUUUGUUUGUUUUGUUUUGUUUUGUUUUGUUUUUUUGGCUUUUUGCUAUUUCUUUGGGCCGCUCCCACGGCAUAUGGAGAUUCCCAGGCUAGGGGUCGAAUCGGAGCUGUAGCCACCGGCCUACGCCAGAGCCACAGCAACGCGGGAUCCGAGCCGCGUCUGCAACCUACACCACAGCUCACGGCAACGCCGGAUCCUUAACCCACUGAGCAAGGGCAGGGACCGAACCCGCAACCUCAUGGUUCCCAGUCGGAUUCGUUAACCACUGUGCCAUGAUGGGAACUCCAACAAUGCUAUUAUUAUUAUUUUUUUUUUUGUCUUUUUGCUGUUGUUGUUGCUAUUUCUUGGGCCGCUCCCGUGGCAUAUGGAGGUUCCCAGGCUAGGGGUUGAAUCGGAGCUGUAGCCACCGGCCUACGCCAGAGCCACAGCAACGCGGGAUCCGAGCCGCGUCUGCAACCUACACCACAGCUCACGGCAACGCCAGAUCGUUAACCCACUGAGCAAGGGCAGGGACCGAACCCUCAACCUCAUGGUUCCUAGUCGGAUUCGUUAACCACUGCGCCACGACGGGAACUCCCAA
rnacentral:lncRNA from 1 species